GUGCAGCAGGCGCGAAUACUCCGCAAUGCCCGAAAGGGUGACGGGGGGAUUCCAAGUGCCUACGCUUAGCGUAGGCUGUUCAGGUGCCUAAAAAGCACCUGGAGGAAGGGCUGGGUAAGACGGGUGCCAUCUGCAGUGGUAACGAAAGGUUUGAUUUGCUACUGCAAGGCAUAAGCCGCCGCGGUAAUACCCGCAGCCCGAGUGGUAGUCGCUUUUAUUGGGCCUAAAGCGUCCGUAGCCGGUCUGGUAAAUGCCUGGGGUAAAUCGUGGGGCUUAACCUCACGAAUUCCGGGUAGACUGCCAGACUUGGGACCGGUUGAGGGAGAGGGUACUCCAGGGGUAGGGGUGAAAUCAGCAAGGUAAGCUGAUGUAACUUGCCUUGCAAGUCACAAUCCUGUAAUCCUUGGAGGACCACCGGUGGCGAAAGCGCUCUCCUAGGACGGGUCCGACGGUGAGGGACGAAAGCCAGGGGAGCAAACCGGAUU
rnacentral:rRNA from 1 species